rnacentral:lncRNA from 1 species
UACCUUCAUAAAAUUAUAACGACACAGUUCACUAAUACUAAUAACUCAUUGCAAACAAAACUUUUUGAAUUCAACUUACCAGUCUAGCAUACUAAAACUUAAUUAUUAGUUUUACUAUAUAUAUAUAUAUAGAGUUGAGCUAUAAUACUUUUACAAGUAUCACCAUCAUGGUGCUAUUAGGUUUUAAGCCAUUGGAUCUACUUUUUGAUUAUUAAUAGCCUUUGGAUUAAACACUAUUCCACCUACCACCACCUACCACCAUCAUCUCAACCUCACAUCUCUCCAUCCAAGGGCUAAAAACACACAAGUAUCACCCCCAUGAUAUUUUUACAAGUAUUCUAGCCCUACUCUCUCUCUCUCUCUCUCUCUCUCUAUAUAUAUAUAUAUAUAUAUUAUGAUAUUAUCAGAUGUGGAACUAUUGAAGUAUUACGGAGAUAGAAAAAAAGAAUGAGACAUGCAUAAACAAUAUAAUUAAUCAUAACUAAGUAGGGAGAGAGGGAGAGAGAGGGAAUACCCCAUUGGCCUUUCCAUCAAGAAGGCCAGAGUUGGCUCUCCAAGUGACCCUCUGGUUGCUGGGGAGGUACCCAGAUCUCUGAGCCUCAAAGUAGAGAAUGCUUUUACUCAGUGCUUUCCCAUAGUCAUGGCCACCAUAAGCCCCCAAUGGCACCACCACAGCAACAACAACAACAACCAUCACAUGAACAAGCAUCUUAGCACAAGCCAUUUUGUUUUCCCCUUAUCAAGUAAUCCAACCAACAACAAAAAAAGGAAAAAGAAGAAGAAGAAGAAGAAGAACCAAACAGAGAGAGAGAGAGAGAGAGAGAAGUGCUUCUGGGAAAAGCCCACACCAGCAAUGGUGGGUUUUUUAGAGGAGAAGAGUGGGGGAGUAAAUGGGUAUUGGAGGUUGUGGAGAGAGUGGGGAAGCUCAAGAGGCCUAUUUAUAUGGAGCAGAGGAGGGGAUUGGUGCAUUUAAUACUUAAUUGUUUCUUUCACCCUUUAUUUAUUUAUUUUUUAUUAUUGUUAUUAUUAUUAUUAUUUUCUUUUGGUAAUAGUAAUGGGGAGGUGCAGUGUACACCAGUAUAAUGUGUACAAAAUUUUGUAUACUGUGUACAUCAAUAUUAAAAUGUGUAAGGUCUGAACCAUAUUUUUCUUUUUUAGACAAAGGGAAAAUGUGGUUUGCAUCUUUACAUUUUUUUCCCUCCCCUUAAAGACACAUACAAAAUAACCCUAUUGAAAGUUUUUUUAGAAUAAAAAAGUUACUUAAGUUUUUUUUUUUUUAAAAAAAAACAUGUGAUUUUCAAGGAUAUAGGUGGAAUAAAAUUUAGCAUUUCUAUGUAUUUUAAUUGCCUUCAUGGUUAACAAAGAUAAAUAGGGGAAUGUGCAUAUCAUACUAAGAGGCAUAGAGAUCAUAAAUAGUCUUGAUUUAAAAAAAUAUGAGAUUUCUGGUAGCUUCUAUACUAUUUUAAUAUUACAGUCUGAAUAUUUUCAUAUACUGUACUUUAAUUACUGAUGUGUUCGAAAUAAUCGAGUGUUGUUUUGCAUAUUGAACAAAAGUGAAUUAUUUUGAAGUAAACUAAAGUAAGAAAAUUUUUUAAUGAUACUAAAAUUCUUAUUUAUAAGAAAAUUGAAUCACUUUUUUUUAAUGGUUUAUACUACACUAUGAAUAUCUUAUUGUUUUAAAUAGUAAAAAAGAUUUGUAAUUAUAAAUUUUGUGGGACAAAAAAGUUGUAGCAAAUUUUAUAUUUAAUUAUUUUUACUCCUCUUUUCCAAAUAUUUCAAAAUUUGACAUCACUUGUACUGGUUAAUGGAAUUAAUAAGAAAUGGUUGAGACUAGGGUCCACUUUGAUAUUUUGGGCUCCACCUCAUCUCAAGAUCCAUAAAUUGCUUCUACCCAAAUCACUUUUUUUAAAAAAAAAAAAAAAAUGAGAGCAGUUGAAUCUCCAAAGUAUUACUAAUUAAAACCUUGUUUUUUUUUUCAGAAAAUGUUAUGUUUUGAUACUAUUAAAACAAAAGCUAAAAGGGCUAUAGUCAUAAGUUAGGUUAAUUAGCCAUUUUUCUUAAAGUGAUCACCUAAUCAUUAAAUAGUUCGAGUCAACUUUAUUAGGGAGAUCGAUUAUUCAACAGUGAUUUAUUGCCUAAUACUUUGGUACUAGGUACGGAUUUUAUAGCUUAACCGCCGAUGGAUAUGAAAAAUUAAUAUAUAUUUCCUCGAGGAAUCGCAUUGUGUAACAGUUAAUCAAUUAUCUAGUGAGAAUGUGAGACCUAAGUGCUCGUUUAUUUUUUUUUUAAAAAAAAACAAGUUAAAAUACCUAAUUUUGUUCAUAGUAGUUUACUGAGUUUGGUGAUUGAGCAAUAGGUACUUAGGCAUUUUUCCAGUUAUUUGAAAUGGUUCUCAACUCAACUGAGACACUGCAUAGGAUGUGCACUUUUGUUUAUGCCUAAAUUGAUUAGGACAUGUGAUGAGUUUCACCGAUGAAUUAAGAGGAAUUGUUGGAUAUCCACCAACCAUUCAUAUCCAUUUUUCUCAUUCUUUUUUUUUCAAACAAUUUAACUUGUUUUAAACCUCAAUAGUUCGCGCAAUAAUAAGCCCAAUUUGUUUCAUAUUUGAAUUUUUAUCUUAUUAAAUUUCGUAUCUGUUUGGCUCUACUUUUAAUGUUAUUUUUAUAUGAAUCAUAAUCUAAAAGUCGAUUUGAUAAUUUGCUGUUGACAGUUAAAAAGUGAUUAUUUUGAUUUUGGAGUUAAUUUUUCAAGUACUUUUUUUUUUUUUUAAAGGCAAUAAUGCUUCAUAAGACAAAGUUUCUAAACUUCAGAUAGUACUUCAAAGUGCUCCAAAGAAAAUAAAGUAAAAGAAGAUAUUGGUGGAAGAGAGAGAUUUAUAGUACUUAGUUUGGGUUAGACCUUGUGGUGGAAAAAUUACCAAACUUUGACUUUUGUGAUGGAACUCAAUUUGAAACGUUGACUGAUGUUUGAUUUUGAUGUGUAAAAGUUAAUCAUCUUGGUUUUGGGUAUAAUUACUAGUUUUUCAUCAAAAUGAAGAGAUUUAGAGAGGCAAAUUAGUGCUCCCCACCAAUCACGCCGUACCUCGAAAUCAAGUUAUCUAAUUAAUUAAAGUUUGAAUAGAUUUUAAUUUCUUUUUUCUUCUUUUUUUUUUGUUUUUUUGUGGAGGAAAUGGAGAGUCUAUUUUUAGUUUUAAGCAAGUUGAGGAAAACCUGAUUGUAGGUCUUCUAAUUAAUGAGUUUGUACCACUGAUACAACAGGGAGCAAGUUUCCUGCAGCCUCUUCCGCGCGAUAUGAUAGAGACGAUUCGAAUUGAUUUUGCCGUAAACAUAUAGCAGAACAAUUUCGUGCACAGAAAAAAUUUUAAGUACAAAGCUGUAGAGAAUUUGGCCUCCACAGAAUGAUAUAGGCGAUUCAGAUUGAUUUCGUUAGAAAUGUAUAGCAAAAUUGUUCCAUACAUAGAAAAAAUUUGAGUAUAGGACGGCAAAGAAUUCGGUGCCCACGGCAUGAUAUAGACGACACAGAUUAAUUCCAUUGCAAAUUUAUAGCAAGAUCGUCCCGCGCGCGCAUAAAAAGAAGAAAAAAAAGGUUAAGUACAGGAUUGUAGAGCUAUUUAAUUGUAGCCAUAUUUUAUAGGAUUAGAGGAUGAUUUAUAACUAUGUUACGAUAAUUUUUUAUUAUUAGAACUUUUUGCUCCAACAAUGAUUUGGCUUUGAAACCUCUUGGAUGCGAAGAAAAAUUUACUAUGUCACACUUACACCACAUUAUCAAAAAUAAGCCAAUCACAUCACUUUUUUUUUAAAAAAAAGAUAUAAUAAAAAUAUUUUUUAUAAUUCCGAUGGGAUGAGUAAAUUUAAAAAAAUUUGUUUGAUUGAUUAGAGACACCGCGUCACCAAUAUAACCGAUACACUCUAGAAUUUUUCUUUGGAUGCGCUGCAGAGCUCGGAGAUAACCAUAUUUAUAACUAUUUGAUGAGCUUUUUUAUUCAUGAAAAAAAAUUUGGAAAAAAAAGGUCUUAAGAUAGGGGAACCCCUUGGCCCCCAAAUGGCUCGCAAGCGUACUUUGCGUCACGCAAAAUUGCAUAAUUAUUUUAUUUUUAUAUUUUUUUAAGGAAAAUUUUUAAAUACCAUUCACGUGAUUUCACACUUUCUUAUUUUAGUACCCUGUAGUUUAAAGUGUAUUACUUUCGUACACUGUAAUUUUAUUUUUCUUUUUUUGUUAUUCCCUUCACUAAUUUUUUUCGUUAAAUCAGUGACAAAGUUAAAACUAAAUGCUACUAAAGUAAAUAUUCGAUAAACUAUACGUAGGGUAUAUAAAGUUUUUUGCAUAUAAUUUAAUAAAAAGUUAACGGAGGAAUUGACGAAAAGAAAAAAAAUGAAACCGUAAGAUACUAAAUUAAUAUAUUUUAAAUUAUAGAGUACUAAAGUGAGAAAGUACGAAACCACAGGUAUUUAAAAUUUACCCUUUUUUUUUAAGUUAUGAAGAAUGCAUGGUUCACACCCCUACACAGCUAUUAAAUGCAAGCCUCGUAUAUGCGUAUAUGCCUCUUGCAACGUAGUUUUAAGCACAUGGAUUAUUUGUACCAUUAGACCGUUUGACCGUUGCGCUACAUGGUCCAAGUUCAUGUGAUUUUUGAACUAGUUGACUAAUUUGGCCCACAAUGUGCUUAAUUAAGCUCGAUUAACUAGGCGGCUUUUAGACCAAUUUUAAGCUCUCAAAUUAAAUGCGUCUAAACUUUUCCUUUUACUCGGCAUGUUCGAAGAUCGUAAACUCUAGAUUUAGAGCUCUUACUUUUCUACAGAAAAAUUUUUAGGUACAUUUAUUGAUAUAUAUUUUUUCAAAUAAUAUUAACGGACAGCACUUAUAAAGAAGUUUCAGCCGGUCAAGUACACUCUAAACUGCUAAAACAAAUAAUUUUUGAAUAGUUUUGUUGUGAAUAGGUAUUAAAAUCGAGCGGACACGAUCACAAUAGUCAAAUGAAAAAGCUGAUCAACUACAUAAACAUAAAUAAUCCUGUUGGUACUACUGAUCAUGGUCUUAAUAGAAUAAAAAUCAUUAUUUAUAGAAUAAUUUAUUGAAUCUUAUAUAUGUACAAUAAAAUUGGAUCUGUUAAUAACAGUAUCAAUAAAAUGGCCCCUAACCGUAGCGUGGUGUAACAUAAUUAUUAUUGUCAUUAUCAGUAUCCUUAAAGCAUGCGAAUCUAACACCUCCAAAAGAAACAAAAGGAAAAAAAAAAAAAGGAAAAAGAAAAAAGUGCAAUGGACCAACUCUCCUCGAGUUUCUAAUCACUUUGACUUUGGUUUUUUUUUUUUUUUUUUUUUUUUUUUUUUUUUUUUUUUUCCUCUCCAAAUCCAAAAUUUAGGCCGCUAUUGGUGGACAUACGGGACAUAGAAUCCGCCAAUGUCUCCGCUUCCGUCGCCGAAUUCAUUUAUAACUUCCCCCCGAAUUUAAUUUAUAUUUAUAUCCUCUCACAAAUUAAGGACCGUUGCUGACCCUUCUAUUUUUUUCAUUUUUAAUAGUGUGUAUAAAUUUUAGAAACAUUUUUUUUUUGAGAAAAUAGAAACAUAUUAUUCAAUUAUCGUCACUAAACUAUUUUUUUAUAACGUCUGUAAAUAUAUAAUUUUAGACAGAAACUAAAAAUUUUAUUAGUAAUUUUUGACUAAAAAUAGUAGAGUGAGAAAUACUGUCCAUAUGAAGCAUGAUUGGCAAAGAAUUUGAUAAUUGGUAACUGGGGUUGCGAAUUCGAAGUUCAGUUAAUUUAUAUAUAUUUUUAAUUGAGUUAUUUUAAAAAAAAAAAAUGAACGAAUGAAUAGUUUAUUUUUUUGGAAACUUAAAAUAAUAUUUUAGUAAUAUUUUUUUUUAGAAACAAUAAUAUAAGUUAGCCCCAAAAAAUUUAAAAUACACUAUAUAAAUUGACAAAAAGAAAUAGCUGUUAAAAACCUAGUGUAAUAUAGGAGAUGAAAAUAAUAAUAAUAAUAACUAAAAAUAUAGCCGAAUGUAAGUAAUCUACUUUUCCUUUUUAAUUGGUUGAAGAAAUCGGCGACGAAUUUUUGGUCCCUGUUUCUUGGAAGCGUAUAUCUCGCCGAAUUUAAUGGGUAUCCCAAGGCCCAGUCGUUUGUAUGUAGGCACCGAAGUACGCACAUGGGAUCACGUGGUGCGCACAUGCAAAUUGCGGCCGCUUUUUUUGCAUGUUUUUUUCUCUCUCCUUUCACAACAACAACAACAACACAUGCUAACAAUACAUGUAAUUCUAACUCUACUGCAGUUAUAACUAUAUACAAAUAUAAAUUCUGUAUUUUGUUUGAUAUAUUUAAUUCUAACUGUUGUAAUAGAAUUUGUAGGAGAAGGUCCAACUGCACUAGUUGAAACUAUGUCCAAAUUAACUGUCAAAAAACUACAUCAGCAAUUGGAGAGAGUAACUUUAAGUAAAAGAUAAGCUUAUCUUUCUAAUUAUAUAUUUCUUAAACAAAAAAAAUAUAUAUUUUUUACAUUAGAGGUAAUCUCACCAUCUUAUACAUAAAAUGAUAAAAUUUUAAAAAUUAUUUCUCAACUACAUGCAACUAAACAAAUUAUGUAUAGUUACAGCAUUUUUUACUACAUCCAACCAAACAGAAUACAUGUAGUUACAACUGUUGUACCUCUAACUGCGUGUAUCUUUAACUACACAGUAUUUUUAAUUACAUCUAACCAAACAUCCCCUAAGUGUUGAAGGUGGGAUCGAAUUCGGAGUAUCAUGUACCGAGCAGAAGCUUAGAAUUGAAUAUGAUAAUAUAUAAUCUAAUGAUAAAGUGACAAACAUUCCUAUUAUUGCAUUCGGUGCAUAGGAUACCUAAUUCGUCUUCGAAACAUAUGUUCAGAUGGGUUCUUUAGAAGUACUUUUUUAAAAAAAUAAUGAAUUAAAUUAUUCUAUUUGCUAUCUUCAAAUUGUAAGAUAACUUCAUACUUAGGGAUGCAAAUAGACGGAUCGUGAGACGGGAGGAGUUUCCCACCUCUAGUCCCAUUUUUACUUAGCGGGUCGGGGCAGUCCGGUUGAUCGAUUUGAGACAAAUUAAUUUUUACCUUCGCUUACUAUUUCAUUUGUAGCUGGUCGGGACAUGAGUGACUCUUUGACGGAUUAGAAUAGAUUGAAGGAAAGGAGAAGCCCCUCGCCUCCCGCUCAAUUUUCUUAGCUACCGUUUGGUUCGGGGUUAAAAAAAAACUAGUUAUUUCAGAGAUAUGGUUAAGUUCAGGGUUAAUGUAAGGUUAAAGUAUUUUUGCGUUUGGUUGGAUGUUGGAGUUAGUCCAGGAUAGUGAAAAAUAGUGUUUGGUUGGAAUAGGUGGGAUAAGAAGAAUAGUGGAUUAUUAUAAAUAGAAAAUAGUAUUUGGUUUGGGUUUGGUGGAGUUAGAUGGGGUUAGCUAAUCCGGAAUAACUCAUUUGAUGUGGUGUUAGUUAAUCCCACCCAUUUUUAGGAGUGUUUGGAAAUAAUAUGGGGGUUAAGGGGUUAUUCCACCCCUUAACCCCUAACCAAACAAAGGCUUAGCGGAUCAGAAGCUCCAUCAAUCCGGAUCUAUCUAUCUGCAUCCCUAUUUAUGAUAUAGCAAAAAUUAUAAACAUAUUAAUUGCUAGCUGUUUUAUUUUACCGACCAAAAGAAUACUGCUUAAGUGCGACUUUACUCUUUGUGUGUUUUUGUUAAUUUCUCUGUCGGGUUUAUCCUUUCCCUCCGUGAUUAUGUCUUAAUUUGGUUCUUCUUCUUCGAUAAGAGGUAAAGAAAAAGAGAUGUUACCCCUUUUUUUAUUUAGUAAUUAUUAUUAUUAUUUUUCAAUCAAAGAAUAAGGGUUUGCAUAUGUUUCCUUAUGCGAGAUUGUAAUGGAUUGAUAAUCAUCAUAUAAUUAAGGAACAAGCAUGCCCUAUUAUGUAUAAUAAUUUAAAGCUAAAUUAUAUUCAUGUAUUACUGUACCAAAAUCUAAAACUACUGUAUUAAAACUUAUAUUGUAUUAUAAAGUUCGUCUGUGCAUUUUUUUUAAAUUUUUUCUCCUACAUAUUGUGUAAUUUUCAGAUCAUUCAAUAUAUAUAAACGGUGCAGAUGCAUUUCGCUGCUAAUCAAUAACAAAAUCAUCCUGUGCACGAAAACGCGAACUCUAAACCUCACAUUUGAGCAUACAAUAUGAGAUAAAAAACACUUAAAAUAUAUUCAAAACUAUUUAUGAAGCUGGAAAAAUUAAAUGAAAAUUUGAAAAAAUAAACUAUAAAUAAAGAGGAGAAAAGAGGAAGCCUCGUGGACACGCAAUUACGCAAAGACUCUACGGUCAAAAAAAAGAAAAAAAGAAGCGCCGAAAGAAAUAUGCCGCGAAAAUCCCGCAAUCAACGGCUUACCGCGAAAAAGUGGAUUCCAAAAUUUGAUUUCAAAAUUAUUUUUCAUUUAAAAUUUUCAAAAGAAUUCCACACAUACACUUUUACUCUUUAUCUCAAUUACUUUCUACGUAUUUACUUUUUUAAUCUUAAUCUUAUAUUUUACUCUCAUGCAAAUAUAUUUAUUAUAAAUUUUGGUUAAGUAUGAGAAAAUUAAUUAAAGUGCGGUAUAAAAUAAGGCCCCCUUUAGAAUUACAGUGGUACUGAGCUAAUUUCGCUUAUGUCUAUAAAAAAUAUUAUAUUAUAUAAAUUAUAAUAACUUAAUUAUAAUUUAAAAGACAUAUAUAUCAAAAAUUAUAAAAUUUAGACUUCAUCUCUUACAAAUCCAACAAUGUUUGUUUCUACACUAUUCAUUUUUGAGACAUUUUUAAAACUUCUUAUUUCUUUUAUAUAUAGAUCUUUUAGAUGAUUCAAAUUGUACCUAUAGAUUGAAUUUUACUUUCAGAAUAUUAAUCAUUAAAAAUAAAAUUAUGCACGGUGCAUGAGGUACAUCGAAACACUAGGCGCAAGUAAUAAUUUCUCGAAUGCAGGCCUGUAUUCUUAUUUUUUUCUUCUCAAUUGGAAAAAAAAAGCAAAUAUGGGGUCGUACGGGAAGGUUGGGUGAGACGUAUUAAGUCAGCCCGCUUCGCUAUAUGCGAAGUGUCUUGGUGAUUAUUUUGUCCUCACCGGUCAUGCCCGACUAAGUCGAGUCGUGUGCCUUUCGCUUGUAGUUCAACUUUUCGUUAUUAAUAAAAUACUAGUUGUUUAUGCCAAUUUGCAAGAUUCCUUUAUCCUUUACGUGCUUGCUCUCAAUUCUCGGUCGUUGCCAAUUUGCGAAAUUGUACCUCGAAACGGUUUGGCUGGCUUGUCUGUGCAGGUGACAGACGAGCGCCGCGCGGGCUUUUCGACAAAAAGUCAUUAGACCCGCGACAAGUGGUAUCAGAGCUCGAUAAAUUUGAUGUAAUUUGGUUCGGAUUUUGAUUUUCUUUUGGAUAAGCGACUUCUCAUUCACAUUAAUUGUAUUUUCAAAACGAUGUAAUAGUGUAACACUAUAAAUAAUUUAUGUACCUGUUUGGUCCAACUUCUGAAAUAUGUUUUAGAAGUUGAAACUUGAAGUUUUUGCGAGAUCACCUACAUUGUCUUCAAUUUAUCAAGACCCACUUUUUAGUUUUUUUUUUUUUUUUUUUUUUUUUUUUGGUGAGAAAAACAUGCUAUUUAUAUGUAUUGGUGAUCAGAAAUUAUUGGAUCUCAUCAAUAAAUUCACUUGUACUUAUCCCUGCAUCCAAUUUGAUUGAUGCAUAAAAUGCACAUCUCUAUGUCCCUCUUUUAUUUAUAUCCCUUUAUCAUUGGAGUGCAUAUAGUGUUGUAAAUUGGAUAGGCCCCUACUCAACCCAUUUUGCCCCCCUUCAAACUAACAAUCCCAUACAUAAUAUAUUGGCCCAUGUUCUCAAUGAAUAGUUACAAGUAAACAAUGCAUGUGGAUUACGUAGUGUAGUGCAUGAAUGGAUCGUGAAUCAUUUAUAGGGAUCAAAACAUGCAUGUGACUUGGUUUGAUACAAUUUGUUCCAAGGAGGGAAAAAAAAGAAAAAAAAAAAAAGCUUUGAUGCUUAAUAUGUCAUUAGCAGUUCCAUGUCCAUAUCUAUGGCUUCUCACUUAUCCGACAAAUUCACGCCUUUUGUCGCAACAAAUUAAUUUUUUUUUAAGAAUUAAAUCGUAUUCAAAUUCAUCAGAACGAUUAUAAGUUAUUUGAGCUCGACCUCAUCAUUAAAGGUAAAUCGAAUUUAUCCAAUCAAAGUUGAAAAUUAAGCAAAAUGUUAAAUAAAUAGAGUAUCUAAAUUGUUUGGUAGUGGAGAUUGAAAAUAAAAUACGUGGGGAUGUAUGGUCAUUUUAUAGGAGUAAGUAACUCAUCGCGUAAUUGUUCAAAAAAUAAAAGAAAAAGAAAAAAAAGAUUUUUUAUUUAUUUUUUAUUUUGCGCGUAGCAAUUUAAGAGUCGCAUGUGAAUGUUUGUGGUGGCACGUGACACAGGAAAACACCCUCAGGAUGCACGUGCCGAUGCGCCCAUUUCGCGUAUGCUCACAAAACGCACGUGCCGAUGCGCCCAUUUCGCGUAUGCUCACAAAACACAAGCAUGUGUAUGGAUUAUGGAUACCAAUGAUUGCUAGGAUUGGUUUAGGUCGAGUUGAGAACCAAAACAACUAACAAUUAUCUAAAUCAAAUAUUAAAUGGGACCUAAAUUAUUGACCCAAAUCUCAUAUAGGAAUAUUUGUAUCUUAGGUUGUGCUUAAAUUCAUGAAUCUCCCUCAUGUGAAAGUUGAGAUUGGUCGCUUAAAAAAAGUUUAAAUGCGCCGGCGAGACCAGGAGGUUCUUAGUCAGAGAUUCAAACCUCUGUGAGUAAAAAAAGUAUAACCCUAGAUGGGGCUUACGAACUUUGCUUCGGAAACCCAGAAACAAGAGACUUGCAAAGAGUGGAAGUUCUAGGAAUUAUCAGUGUAACAUAACUCAAUAAAUUGAUGAUAACUUUUCGGUUCAAUCUCCUGUACUGGAACCUUUGUCUAAUCAUACAACAUUGUAGUGUAUUCCACCAUGAGCCGCAAAAUUAAACAACAGCACAAGUUCCGAUUCCGGUGAUUUUUCUCCGGUGAUUUUUCUAUAUACAACAACAUCAGUUGAUUCUGCUGGAAGUUACACAAACUAAUCACAAAAAAAAUAAUCCUGAAGCAAAAUAAUUUACUACUAGAAACAUUCAUAGCUUGAUGUCGGAUUACUGCUUUUCAGAAAAGAAAUCGGGCUCGGCUGGUUUCUGCAGCAGCAUUGCGGGGAGCCUCUCCUGCAACCGGGCCUUCCGUGUCCUAUUUCUCCUUAGAGUUCUUAGCAUAUUCCCUGCGAACCUCGAAGCAUACAACGCCGCACCAAAGCUCAAAGAAAUCUCUCCCCCACUCACUAUGGCAGCCUGCAACCUCUUCUCUCUUUCGUGUAAAGCCUCCUCGAGCUUCUUUCUUGAAUACCUUCUCCAUGCCGCCUGUAUAAAGCAAGCGGCCCACGUCCUCCACUGCUGUGAGUAGAGCCUAAAUGUAUGUUGGAGCUGUUUACUGUGUAGCCUUCGGAACUGAGUUGCGACGAAUUUUAGGUCAUCGGCCAUUAGGGCAAAAGCUUCGACCUCCGAUAAUGUCUUCACUGUCCUUGUCGAGCUAGGGAGGCUGGAGUAUGAGUGGGGGUCAAGGGCCCAUGUGAGAAGCUCUUCUCCGCAGAAAUCUCCAGCUUUUAGUAUGUCGGAGUUGAAGAAGCCAGUCCUCCCACCGUUCGUGGUCAUGCUCUCUAAAUUCCCUCGCAUGAUGAAAAGCAUUUCAUUUACUGGGUCUCCUUCGCGAAUGAUGCAGCUAUGUUCGGUGUAUAGGACUGGUUUUAGGCGGUCGCACAUCGCAUCAAGGAGUUGAUCAUCCAUCUUUUCAAACAUUGGGACCUGAAAAAGAGUUUCUGGUUAUGACGGCUGUCAAUUUUCAGCUUAAUCUAGGGGUAAUAAAUGUUUGGUUUAAGCUCAUUUGUGGCUUGUCAGAAAAGGAUAUUAUUUCUGGAGAAGCAUUAUGCAGAUAAUUCUUUCUGAUGCAUUAGCAUGUGAUAUACGCAAAUUUUUCUUGGUGCCUCGAGGGUUUUCAAGUACUGAUGAGUUAGAUAUAGUGAUGGAAAUUGUUGAUUUCUGCAGGUGAGCUGUAAGAUUUUAAGUAUGGGUAAAUAUGCAUGAAUAGUUAUAGUCACUGAACUUUUCAGUUAAACAUGUUAGUCUCCGCACUUUCUAACAAGUCGCAACUGUAUCCCAGGCUCCACCAACAGUUUAGUGUCUUUACCUUGCGUGCCCUGCACAUGUACCAUCCUAUCUGUGCCAAAUCAAGUGAAAAAGAAAUUCAUUCAGGGUUUAAAUGGCCAUUUUACAAGACAAAUGUCACGUGCAAAUCAUGCGAGUAAAUGGACAUUAGACGGUGACAGAGCCAGGGAUGCGACUGCAAAUUGCAGGAAUUGUACAUUGUAAGAAUGUUAAGGGACUAAAAUUUUCAAGUGAAAAGUUCAUGCAUGAAAUUGGAUUAACAGAACAUCCCAUGUGGCAGCAAGCAUAAUAGCAAAUAUCAACAGUGAAAGUAGAAUGUGAAGGUCAUUGAGAAUCUACCCUCAUGAGCAGGGAUAGACAAAGAUGACGCUUAAUGUCCCGUCUAAGGUCUUUUGGAAGGUUCAGAAGGAGGUGUUCUUCAUCCACCCCUCUUGUUUCUUGCCAUCUAUAUUGUUCAUGGCGACGUAUACGCUCCUUUAUGCUCUCAGGAAGCAGUCUGUGGGACAUCCAUUGCUCUGCAUCUCGCCUUUUUAUUCUCAUCUCUUCAAUUCUUACGGACGUGGACUGCAGAUAAGUCUGCAACAUAAACAGAAAAUUUAUGUAUUUUACUUUGUAAGACGGUAGCACUUGCACAUGCAAAUUACUAAAGAACACUGAUUGCCAACGUGACUACUGACAAAACAAAACAUUAGUAAUGAAAGAACUGGGAAGUGAUAAGGCACUGGGAGGGAAAUGGAAAGGCGUUGGUCCUAGUCCAAGUGCAAGAACUUGGUGAUUUGGGUAUACCUCCCCCCCUCCCCCCCCANAAAAGAAACCGGGUGGAAGUAUCCUUUAGGAAAUAUUAGUUCGUUGAAGGGUGGAUAAAACAUAAGGUGUAAAAAUAUACUUGAAUAGAAAAGUAAAAAGCUAAGAAACCUAGGUACUGUUUUAUUUGUUUAUUUAUUAUUUCAAAUGUAAGAAACACCAAAGAACGAGAGCUGGGUUGUAGCUUUUGUACAUAACUUUCCUAGUUUUGCUGUAUAUAUGAGCACUUUGUGCUUUACUGAACUCUGAAUACAGUGUAUGAGUGACAGGUGAUAAGGUGCUACGAACUAAGAGAUCAAAUCAAUGUACUUGCUUCUCUUUAUUUUAAAAGGUUUUAGCUACCUUUAAAAUCCAGAGAAUCCAACAAAGUCAAUUUAACUUCUACGCAUCCAAUAAAGUCAGUUUAAUUUCUUUGUUACAGUACAAGUUCACAAAGGGAUAGCCCGUGAGCCCCUGCGUCUUGCAGUUCAAAAAGAAAAAAAACCCCUCUAAUUUUAUUCUUUUGAAUCAAACUCUACAGAUUUCUAAAGGAGUGAAGCCAAACUCGUAAUUGGCCAAAUAACACAUUUUUCUUCAUUUCAACAUUUGACUGUCAUGACUCCUUAACAGAUUGGUUUAGCAAAACACUGUAAUUGACUUGAAUUCUUUCAAAUACUCAAGAAGCAGAUCAAACAAGCAAGCAAUCAAAAUAUCAUGGCAAGGAUGUGGAUUACCUGCAUAUUGCCAAUGAGAAGCGCAAAAAGAAUUAAGGCCGAUAUAGAGAUAAAAACUGCAAACAAGUUCUCCCACGUGUAAGUGCUUGUCCUUAGGUUUUGCCCAAGAGAACUGCAAAAAGAAAAAGCCAUUUGUCAGCUACAAGAAAAAGAAUGAAGACAAGCUACGCACUAACCAAGUUUUCAUUCAUGUGAAAAAAAAGGAAAAAAAAAUGUAUAGAUAAGCAUGGUGAAGCCAUCAUAGCUAGCGUGAAUAUCCUUAAGAUGAAGUAACUGGUAAAAGCAAGUAAUACAAAGCAUUGGCUGAUAUAGAAAAGAACUAAAAUGUCCUGGAAUAUGUUGUUGCUCAAUGAUACUAAAGUGUCAGCCAAGAUUUUUGCUUGCACUGCAAACUUGACAAUUUCAUAAUGUAGUAUCUUAGCUAUUUUCUUGUUGAGAAUGAGCCAAUCAGCAUAGUUGUUGGUUCUACCAGUUGACUUACUAAACCUGAACUCCUCUCGUUAAAACUUAAGUGAUGAAAGUUAAUUCAACGACUAGAAAUAUUUUUACUUAGCAGAUUAUAGAAUGGUAACAAGAACAGCAGUGGCUACUUGAGCAAAUAUGAACCAUAUAUCACAGCAAGUGCUAUUUGGACCUGUGAGCAUUAGCAUGUAUCAAACCAACAAUUUACUGCUAAGGGGUUUUUACUGAUAAGUUUCGACUAGUUCAGGAAAUGGUAGCAUUUACUAUUUAGUGCUCACUAAGAACAACAGUUUCACUGAGAAAUAGUGUAGCAUUCACUAUGCUUAAAGAAAACAUUUUAUACUAAGGGUACGCUUGGCUCAAAAUAGGAAUCAAAAUCGGAAUAGGAAUGGGAACGGACAGGAAUGGAAAAUGGAAGGAUGAAAACUCUUAUUUGUUUGGUUCAUAAGAGGAAUCGAAAUUGGAACCAUGUUCAAAUUGAAAUUUAAAAUUUUUUUAAUUGUAAUUAAAAUUAAAAUUUACUAUUCAAAUUUGUAAUCAAAAUUUGAAUCUAAAUUUUGGGGGAUUCACUUCCCCUAGAAUGAGAAUCGGAAUGUCAAUCCCUCAAAUCAAACACCAACAAUGAGAAUAGAUCACUCCAAUUCCCAUUCCAAGUCUCAAUUCCAUCAAACAAACAUGCCCUAAAUUCAAGAAUCGAGGUUUUCACAAAUUCAACACAAAAAAUUUCAAUAAUUGAGCUUUUCAUCAUUCACCAUGGCAGUAAUACCAUAUAGUGGCAUAAUAGUACAUUGAGAAAUUGCCAAAGAGGGAACAAAAGAUGUGAAAGUUAAAUGGACAAACCUCAAGUUCUGGAGGCCCCACCAAAAGCAGUAAAACAACUUCUCAAAAAAAGUUGUUGACUGGACAACAUUUUGAAGUGCUGGUUGAUAUAUCCCAAAGUUAAACAAUGAUACAUUAGGUGUAUUUAUAGGGCACAUAGCCGCCAAAAAAGUGUUAUUCUGUCCUUUAUAUGCUCCGCAGUAUAAAGAUGCAAUAUCACAAUUAUUCUGACCACAUGCUUCUCUCCAGCAUGUAUCUUCUCGUUGGAUAGAAAGCAAAUACCACAAUGCUCCGAGUACCUACAAGGAAGCACAAAAAAGGGGUCCUCAUAAGGAUUAAUGUACUUACUGUUUCAUUUUUGCAAAACAGGUGACUUGUGAAGAAGCGUUACUACAGCUGUAUCUUGACUAUCGAGAGAAUAGAACCAAAAAUCAUCACAUGGCUACCUAAAUAUGUAUAGUAUGUGACAGACACUGUUGCAUAUGAUAGCCAACAGCACAACAACAGUGGAAACAAUAUAUAAAACAUGAUAUACAAAUUAUGGUAAUACUUACAAAUAUCUUAUAGUGACAAAUUCUUCUUGCAUUAUCUUUAAGUUAACAAACAAUUAUAUCUGCAAAAGUGCAUACUUUACAUUUCAUUAGAAAGCUAUAUUUUUCAAUGAAAAGGAGACGCUUGGUGAUAACUUAUGGUUGGAAACUCAUAAAUCUUAAAUAUAACAACAGAAAAUUUUCCAAUAUUCACAUAAAUUUUGAACAACAUAAAAAUAUUUACAUAAUUUUUUAACAACAUAAAAAAUGUAAGAAACUUUAGAGUGACUAGGCAUGCACGGCAUUUCUAAAGUAAGGAAAUUUACUACCUACAAUCAAAUUUAGCUGGUAAGUAUAUCUAGUCAAGAAGCAUUUUGGUUAAGGAGAUGAAUAAGGCAAAAAUGAUUAAAGCGUUACGUUGAUUUGGGCAGAAAUUGUCAGGAUAUGUGGACUUACAUGACUUGCGAGCAUAUAAAGUAGAAGGUUAAAGGCAGCCCCAGUCCAUGCUGUUUCAGCGAUUAUGCCAGCAGACCUUGUAAUUUCAAGAUACAAUGGUAUGAUCCUAACUAGACGGGGUAGAUAUUGGAAUAUAACUAUGAACAUCAACACAUUUUUGGCGUUCAGGAGUUCUUCUGACCCUUGCAGUUUGGGAAACACGAUCAAUAUAAUCACCUGGUUAAAUUUAAAAAAAAUAGAAAUGAAGUUAGCAAUGAUACCAUAAAAAUUAGAGUCCUUCACAUAAAACUCAAUAAAGAAGAAAAUCUUCAGUAGAAGCUGUAAAGAAAGAAGUGCAGAUAUUUCAGAUUUUCGUUCUCCAACAUGUCAUGCCUUCUUGCAUGGAUCUCUUCCUCUUAAGGGCCAUUUGGUUGGAUGUAAUUAGAAACACAGUGUAAUUGGAGAUGCAUAUAGUUGGAAAUGCAGCAGUUAUAGCUAUAUACAUCUUAUUUGGUUAGAUAUAAUAGAAAGCACUACAAUUAUAAUUAAUUUGUUUGGUUGUAUGCGGUUGAGAAGUGCAUCUCCAAAAUUUUAUCACUUUACUUAUGUGAUGGUGAGAUUACCUCUAAUAUAGAAAAGAAAAAUAUUUUGUUUAAAAAGUAAUUAGGGAGGUAAACUUACCUUUUGUUUAUAGUUACUCUCUCCAAUUGCUGCAGUUGAGUCUCCUUAUGCAUUUUCAACUGCAGCAGUUGGAUUCAAAUACAUCAAACUAAAUAUCGAAUUUUGAUUUGUAUGUAAUUACAACUAUAGUGGAGUUGUAACUACAUGCAACCAAAUAGCCCCUUAGAAACAGGUCAUCCAUACUAUGCUCAGUCACAAUGUGAGAUCUCUUCUCAUGCGGGAUAUUUAGGCAACAAAACAAUUACUCCGUUUUUCACGUAAAAGAGUAAACGAUAAUAUACAAUAAAAAUUUAAUGAUGUAAUGGAAAAUAAAAAGAAAAUUGAAGAAAACUAAGAAUGUAAUGCAAAAGAAGGCAAUGGUCUGUCGGAGCCUUAAGCAAAAUCAGGAUAAGGAUGUUCACUGUUUUCUUGUUACACCUGAGCUUGUUUGGAUGGAAAAUGAUUACUUAUCCAUGUAAUACCAGAACAGACUAGAUCACAUUGCUAGAUAACUAUCUCCUGGAACUAAUAUGGCUAGUGUCAAAUUUUCCCUCGGAUGGUCUGUAGUUUCUAUGCACAAGUCGUUACAGAUGGUGAGAUCAAACGGUCAAUAAAACAUGAUAAUGUAGAUAAUAAAAGUUUUCAGAAGAUAUUUCAACUUUAUGUUCUCCAUAACGGAGUCAAAUCUCAAAACCUCAAAUUUGAGAUGUUCAACAGGAUGUAAAGUUGUAAAGGGAAAGCAAAGGUUGGGAAAGUGAUGGGCAAGGACAAUAUUCUAUAGGCCUGGAACUAAAUUAGUCAGCAGGGUGGUGAAAGCUCCAUUGUUUACAUGAAAUUAUACCAAAGGCUAAAGCAGCACUUCUGCAGAACCUCUAGACAGGUCAAAGUGGCCUUCCGCCACAGACGGUAAGGUAGACGAAACCUAAGAGACAACUAUCCUUAGAGGUUUCAUGGUAACUCUUAGUCUGUUCUUUCAAUGGAUUUGAGCACAACUCUCUAGAGAAUUGACGUAACAAAAGCAAGUCAUAUAAACCGUUCGUUCUUUCAUGCAGUCCUCUCAACUUCAUUGUACUCUAGAUGACUGCAUAUUGUUGGGGAAAGGCAUGGAUUGCUCUAUAUUACGAGAGGCCAUCGCAGGACAUUACACAGUUCCUUUCCACCCAGUUUGGAAGAUGAGGGGAUAUAAGGAGCAAGCCCUAAUCUUUAGCAUUCUUGCAUAAAGUGGAAGGCUCAAAUACACAAAAAUUUCCUAGAACAUUUCAUUUCCAUUGCCAUUCUACUAUUCUUUAUACUUUUGAUAAGCAGCUACUAAAGCUGAAAAGGGAUAAUAAAGCCUUUUUUAUUUUUUAAGAAAAUGAUAAUAAAACAUAUUUAGUUAUAGUUAAUGGAAGGUAUAUGCAAAACAGGAUGGAUCACCCACCUGAGGGAGUGGAAGCACAGCAAAAAUAUCAAUAAUAAAGUAUGACGAGAUAUAUCGUUUUGCUAUUGCUGCUGGAUCCUCAACCAAGACACCCCUACCAAACACUCUAGACGAAGGGGCUAUAAAACCCGUCUGGAACUGAAAAAUGAUAUGGAGAAUAUAGAAGAUAUCUGUGAAGAAGCGCAGGACGCUUGCUGUGAUUUCCAACUUUCUGUCCAGAUCGAAGCAGUUUCUAUCACUGUCAACAAAUGGGAUAUAAAAGAAUAAGGGGUCCACGGACACUGCAAUUACACAGGAUAAAACGAAUAUCUUAUUCCAUUUCUGUAGAAACGGUCCUUGAGGAUCAAGUGCUUUUUUCCUCGACUUUGCUUCAUCCGGAGAUGAAUUAUCUACGGGUUGAUAGUGCAGAAUAUUUCUGAACCAUUCAAUUCCUCUUCUCAGAACAUCUGUUAACGAAGCAAAUCUCCUCUGCCUGCUUCCUGAAGCUAGCCGGUCUGAACUCACUGAUUGCUCUGAACUCCAAUCCUGAAACCUGCACAUAUAUUGCAAAACAAUCUGGUAACCUUACAUCACUGGUCAAGCUAUAUGCGGUCAUUUUGAUCGGAACAUGCUAGCUAGGUCUGGAAUUACGUUAACAACCUAAAUAUUUAUUACCAAAAAACCAACAAAAAUCCUAAGUUAAGAAAAGUAAAAACUACAAGGAUAACCCACAAAGACAAACAUAGUAUCUUCCAACUCAUAGAUAACAUUGUAACUUUUAGCCAGCAAUUUGAUAUUAAAAAACCAUAAGUACAUCAGAUAUACUUAGCAGAGAAAAUGGGUCAGUUUCUUGUCCAAUGUUGGCAAGGUUAUGAAAUUUUUCAGGAUAAAAAAAAGCAUUGCGCCGAGGUUGCAACUCGGAGUAUUUAGAGAUACCUCACAAAUUUCCCCUCCUGGUGAGUCAUAACUUCAGGUUAAUAGCAAUGAUCGAUUCAAUGUUCAAAAUAAGCGCUAUCCUGCAAAUGCGACGACAUAUCAAACAGCAGUGGCACUCCGAUUGCAAGAGAAAAACCCUAAUUUUGGCCCUGAAACAAGAGUAUGGUGGAAAAAUAGUAAUGCCACACAUUCUUCAAGUAGAUAUAGAUAUAAUUCUAUAAUAAGUAUUAGCAAACAGAAAAUUCCAAAAGUAGUGAGGAGAAGAGAUUCAGCAUAUUUAAGUUCAAAGCUGUGAAAUUCAUGGGAGGUACUCUAAGAUUACCACUAUCAUGCAUCCGAAGAAUUACGGAAUCAUGAGCAAUUAAUCUGUUUACAAUUCACUGCAACUCUUUGCUCUCUAUCCUAGCAAUCAAAACAGUUCAAAAAAAAAAAAAAAAAAAAAAAAAAAAAAAAAAAAAAAAAAAAAAAAAAAAAAACAGUAACCAAAUCAAACUCUUUGUUCUCCAAUACAAACAAGUUUACAGUGAUCGCACAGUUCCAUUAGUAAAAUUCCAAUCCCUAAACCCCUCUUACAAAACAAAAACCUAAUUAAACCUACAUCCAACACACAAAAACCUCAACUUCACAACCUAAUUAGAUCUAAAACAAACACUUCUUAAUUCCCCCAAUC